rnacentral:tRNA from 1 species
GGGCCUAUAGCUCAGUUGGUUAGAGCAUCGGACUCAUAAUCCGUGGGUCAAAGGUUCAAGUCCUUCUGGGCCCA